UCUCUCUUGUUCCUUUGCUUCUUUUUUCUAAUUAUCAGUUAGGUUUAAUUUUUGAUUGUUUUGUUUGAUUGAUAGGAUUAUCUAGUUAAUUACAUGUUAAUUAGUUUUAAUUGCAUAAGUUGUUGGUUUAAUCAAUUUUAAGUAAUUAGAUGUUAAAACAAGUUAAUAGCUAAUUGGUUUGGUUUUACAUUAUUGCUUUUGUUUUAGCAAUGGGUUGUUUAUCAUUAUCCAUAAGUUUAAAAGGGACGUUUGGAAUUGGAAAUGGGUAGUUGAGUCUAUUGUUGAACUUGUUUGCUCUUCUGGGGUAGCUGUUUGUAAUUAACAAAAACUAAAGGAGUCAAAGGGAUCUGGAAAAUUAGGAAAUCUGGUUUGGUUGUUUGGGGAAGUCUCUAGAAGGGACUAAAGUGCAGGCAAAAACAUAUAGAGAAUAUCUGGAUAAGACAACUGUCCCAACAGCUCUCCAUUUUCAGUUUUAAAAGAUGCUUUUUUCCUGAAAUUUAGGAGUGGCCUGCUGAGAAUUAUUCCUCAUCCUUAGGAGCACAUGUCAGAUUUUAUUCCCUAUAUAUAGACCUCUUAUUUUUCACAGAUGAGGAAUACUCAGCUUCAUUCCUCUCCAAAUACAAUCAAGAAUAGACACAGAUUUUAGAAGGAAUUCUCUGAAAAUUGGAUCCUCUUUUCAUUUUUUCUGAGACUGCUUUCUUCUGGAGAAUACUGAAAAAUUCCAACGAGUCUUUUUCUCUGUUAAAUUGGCUAUAUAAAUUCUGGUUUGCUUCAAAAGAGUAUGAGAUAUCUAAAAUCUUUUGCUGUCAUUCUGCUCGUUUGGAAGAGAUUUAAGGUUGUUUUCUCUGGUUUGCUGCUGUUGAAUACUGGCUGAUUGGUAGUUGAUCUUCAUAUCUGGUUUUUCUUUGACCUUUAUUUGGUCGUGGAUCUAAUGUUUGAUUUCAAGUUACUAGCCCUGUUGGAAAUCUUAUUUUGAUUAUCGUUUGGGACUGGUAAGUUAUGCAAAGGAUGUGAGAGCUUAUGGAGUCAGUUGAAGAUGUGAUGAUUGGGGUUCAAAAUUGUGAAAUUCCAACUUUGAGAUUCUUCUGUUCGUAACUCUGAGUUAGUCAUUUUAGAUUAGUUGUUCAAGCUAUGAUGUAACUCUUACUAUUAACCUCUCUUAGAUAGGUUUGAAGCAUGUAAAUGAACGAACUAUCCGUGUGCUGAAUCCAAUUUCUUUCGGUGCAUGAAGAGCGUUAUUUUAGGAUUUGUGUUGUCCUUUGCAUAAAUGGCGAGCUUUUGGGCCAGACUUGUACAGGCAGCCCAGUAUGGACAAGUCUGGACAUCUCAGGUGCUUUAACUUGGGAUGUUGAACCCAAUUUUCGUUUGUUCUGUUUCAUUUUGUGUAUUUCUCUUCUUAUAAUAAUAGCAGCUUAAUUAA